AUCUAUGACCACACCACCCUAAAUGCACCCAAUCUCAUUUGAUCUCAGAAACUAAGCACAGUCUGGCCUGGUUAGUACUUAAAUGGGAGACUGACUGGGAAUAACAGGUACUGCAGGCU
rnacentral:rRNA from 1 species